rnacentral:rRNA from 1 species
GAUGAACGCUAGCGGCAGGCUUAAUACAUGCAAGUCGAGGGGCAGCAUGACUGUAGCAAUACAGUUGAUGGCGACCGGCAAACGGGUGCGGAACACGUACAGAACCUUCCUUCGAGCGGGGAAUAGCCCAGAGAAAUUUGGAAUAAUACCCCCUAGUAUAGCGGAGUGGCAUCACUCUGUUAUUAAAGAUUUAUCACUGGAAGAUGGCUGUGCGGCUGAUUAGGUAGUUGGCGGGGUAACGGCCCACCAAGCCUGCGAUCAGUAACUGGUGUGAGAGCACGACCAGUCACACGGGCACUGAGACACGGCCCGACUCCUACGGGAGGCAGCAGUAAGGAAUAUUGGUCAAUGGACGAAAGUCUGAACCAGCCAUGCCGCGUGGAGGAUGAAGGUCCUCUGGAUUGUAAACUUCUUUUAUAUGGGACGAAAAAAGGCUUUUCUAAGUCGUCUGACGGUACCAUAUGAAUAAGCACCGGCUAACUCCGUGCCAGCCGCCGCCGUAACAC